rnacentral:rRNA from 1 species
AUUGAACGCUGGCGGCACGCCUUACACAUGCAAGUCGAACGGUAACGGGCCUCCGGGUGCCGACGAGUGGCGAACGGGUGAGUAAUGUAUCGGAACGUACCUUUCAGUGGGGGAUAACGUAGCGAAAGUUACGCUAAUACCGCAUAUUCUGUGAGCAGGAAAGCAGGGGAUCGCAAGACCUUGCGCUGAUUGAGCGGCCGAUAUCAGAUUAGCUAGUUGGUGAGGUAAAGGCUCACCAAGGCGACGAUCUGUAGCGGGUCUGAGAGGACGAUCCGCCACACUGGAACUGAGACACGGUCCAGACUCCUACGGGAGGCAGCAGUGGGGAAUUUUGGACAAUGGGGGCAACCCUGAUCCAGCCAUGCCGCGUGAGUGAAGAAGGCCUUCGGGUUGUAAAGCUCUUUCGGCCGGGAAGAAAUCGCACGGGCUAAUACCCUGUGUGGAUGACGGUACCGGAAUAAGAAGCACCGGCUAACUACGUGCCAGCAGCCGCCGCAGUAA